rnacentral:rRNA from 1 species
CAAGUGGUAGGAAGCCGAAAGGUGACCGACCCUUCGGGGAGCUUGCGACAGGUGCUGCAUGGCUGUCGUCAGCUCGUGUCGUGAGAUGUUCGGUUAAGUCCGCUAACGAGCGCAACCCUCGCUGUGUGUUAUAUGUGUCACAUGGGACUGCCGGUCUUAAGCCGGAGGAAGGUGGGGAUGAUGUCAAGUCAGCAUGGCCUUUAUAUCCUGGGCUACACACACGCUACAAUGGCCAACACAAUAGGUUGCUAAGCCGCGAGGUGGCGCCAAUCCAUAAAGUUGGUCUCAGUUCAGAUUGUAGGCUGCAACCCGCCUGCAUGAAGAUGGAGUUGCUAGUAACCGCAGGUCAGCUAUACUGCGGUGAAUACGUUCCCGGGGCUU